rnacentral:rRNA from 1 species
UACGGAGGGUGCGAGCGUUGUUCGGAAUUACUGGGCGUAAAGGGCUCGUAGGCGGCCAACUAAGUCAGACGUGAAAUCCCUCGGCUUAACCGGGGAACUGCGUCUGAUACUGGAUGGCUUGAGAUUGGGAGAGGGAUGCGGAAUUCCAGGUGUAGCGGUGAAAUGCGUAGAUAUCUGGAGGAACACCGGUGGCGAAGGCGGCAUCCUGGACCAACACUGACGCUGAGGAGCGAAAGCCAGGGGAGCAAACGGG